AAAGGGGAAAAAAAGAAAAGAACGGAGAAAAAAUUGGGUUGCCUGAAUCGCAAAGAUCGUGAGAUCUCUUAAGCACAGAGUUGUCUGAAUCGCUUCCUCUUCCAGCAUAUGAUUCCGAAGAUAAUAGCUCAAUAGGUGGUAAAGAGAUCUCGCGAUCUUUAUCGAGAAAUCCAUAUCCGUGUGCUGUUCUUAAUCGUUUUUGUAAUCUUUGAUUGUCUGAACGGUGUUUUAAGGAUUUCAUCAAAGAGGAAUACAAUUGAAGAAGACAAACAGGAAGAUACGACAUCGAAUUAAUUUUAAGGAUAGCUCUGGGUUUGAAGAAGAUGAUUUAACAUACACAUUUGAAAUGGUUGAAUUGUAAACAUCUACAACUGGUUAAAGUUUUGUUCAUCAAUUUGCAACAAUUGGGCCAGAUUUAUGUAAACGAUCUUUGUGGUUGAUCUAGGAAUACAGUUGAAGAAGAAAAGCUGAAAGAUAAGUGUGAAGAAUCAAUUUUAAGGUUAACAAUUUCUGUUUAGCAUUUUUUAAACACAUCUAAUGUUAAUUUUGUUAUUCGUGUAGGAUCGUUAUGGGUUUGGAAGAAGAUGAUCUACUUACACAUUUGGAAAUGUUUAGAUUGUAAAAAUCUACAACUGGUUUGUGCUAAAUUUGAAAGAUACGACGGGUCCAAUCAAACAUUAUGUGGGAGAUCCGUGUUCUCCAGAUGACAGAUAACUGGUACCUAUCAAGAUGUGUUCAUUCAAGCCAUCUUCUAGCCAUCUUCUGCAAUAAUAUCUGGAUAUGAAGCGAGAUCCAAAUAAAAGUCUAGUGACUCAGAAAGACACCGGAUUAUGUUUGUGGAGUUCAUGAGGGUCAUCUUGUAAGGAUGAUUGGUUGCCCAAAACUUCCCAGAAGAUCUUGUUAGCUGAAAGUUUUCGAUGAUUCUCCAUUCACCGAAAACAAUGUGCCUUUGGAACUUGUUCAACUGCUGCUUCUUUACCGUGGCAUGAAUCAAGGGCUUGAUAUCAGAGAGAGGAGUGAUACCAUCAUUAUUGGCCAUGAUCGAAUUGUUGGUGUAUGGAAUUAUAUUGUUAACUGGUACGAAGUUUCGGAUUUCAGUGAUUGUUUUCCUUGAAACGGUAAGAUUGUGUUUGCAACGAAAUGAUUUCGUGAAGAUUGUGCAAAUAAUAGGUGAUCUCUUUGUUAUUAGUCUUGAAUGGUGAAGCGGAGAUUAUGGAGCUGAGACUGAACUAUUUUCGGAAUUUUAUUUACUUAUUUCCUAAUUAUUUAAUGAUUUUGUUUAUAGGUGUAUGGAAUAAUCUUGAUAAGAUAAUUAAGUUUCGGAUUUUACUGUAAUUAUGCUUUUACUGUAAUUAUCGAAUAAUCUGUUUGGAUACAACUGAACUUUAAACAGGAUCCGAAUUGUGUUAUACUUA